rnacentral:rRNA from 1 species
AACAUGUGUGCGAGUCAAUGGGUCUCGAAUAAGCCCAGAGGCGCAAUGAAAGCAAAGGUCGGAUGACUCCGGCUGUGUUGGGAUCCCUUCCCCUCUGCGGGAGGGGCGCACCAACGACCCGUCCUGUUCCACUUGUGGAUUGGGCGGAGUCUGAGCAUACACGUUGGGACCCGAAAGAUGGUGAACUAUGCCCGGGCAGGACGAAGCCAGAGGAAACUCUGGUGGAGGUCCGUAGCGGUUCUGACGUGCAAAUCGAUCGUCAGAUCCGGG